rnacentral:lncRNA from 1 species
GUGUGUGUGUGUGUAUAAUUUUAAAGUGUGGGAAAAUUUAGAAAAAUACAUAAACCGUGCGGUUUAAGCGCUAUAAAAAUGUUCUAAUUUAGAAUUUUAAAGUAUAAAAAAGUUCGAGAAAACGCAUAAACCGUGCGGUUUAAAUACUUUAAGUUUUAGGCCUUUUAAACCCCACAGUUCUCAUACUUUUUUUGUACUUUAAAAUUUCGGAUGAGAAGACUACUAUAUAUGUGUGUGUGUGUUCUGUGUGUGUUUACAUAUCAACAGAUGAGUUGAAUAGAAGGCUGCGUCCGGCACCUCCUAGCAUUUGUUCAGGUUCAUGUAGCAGUAGAAUUGAGUUCAUGUAGCAGGUUAGGAUUCCAUUCAUGCUAGAAACAUUGGUCAACUACAUCACAUUAAGGCUUAUAUCUCACAGAGUUUAGGAGAUUGUUAAUUUAGGAUCAUUUCAUGAUAAUGUUAGUAACUCUUUGCUGGGCCACCAAAAACUUUUACAUGUUUUUCUUUCAACUUUGACACAGUUAGAUGGGACUUUGUAGGCGUAGUCCUGAACAUCCUGGGCUUUCCGGAGAGGGUAGUGCAAUGGAUCAGGGAAUGCAUCUCCACUCCUCAGGUCACUAUUGUCACUAACGGCCUAAGUGAUGGAAGCUCUCUCUUCAACUUCUCAAUUUUAGUAGCAUCAUGGCCUACAAUCAAUAUGUCAUCCACAUAAAGUAAGAGAAUGAUAAAAUCAUCAGCGGAAACCUUCGUCACGGGUGCCAUCCGACUGCAACAAAGAACCGGGAUACAAGGAAAGGGGCAGCCUUCAACCAAUAGCAAUCGCGCACCUAAACAACAUAGAAAGAAUGGGUCUUCUCCUAGUGGGAUAGCAAAGAAGGAUCUCUCCUAUCCCGUAGUGCUUGUCUACGAGAACGCAUAUCGCUUUUUCUAUGUCAGAAAAUAAGUAUUAGGAGAGCUCCAAGGUAUUUCUAGGAAAACCGACAGAAAGCUCCAAGCAUUCAACUUCAAUACAGUUACUUCACACCUUUUCAAUCGUACAUCUACUCUCAACAAUCUCUGUUUCUUUUGUAAUAUCAGAAUUCGCAUAAUUCCUUCCGUGGAUGUAGAAUAUAGUGUAUAUAUCCUUUUCUCAAUAAAACAUGGAUAUAAGAAGAAUAUAAAUAUUAUAUGAAAGGAAAUUUGUAAGGUCGGAUACAUUCAAUUCAACCAAAACCAAGUAAAUAAGAUUGUAUAAUUUGCACUUAAACAUGAAUCUACAAUCUGGUAACAUGGUAAAAUAUUAAUCCAUAUCAUCUUGAAUUAUGUAAUUAAAAAAUUUCAACAUAUACAGUAUAAAUGUUUAGAACGUGCUGUAAUUAUUGUUGCUCAUCCAAGAAAUAUCAGCUCCAUAGCUAUGAAAGAAGUGCAGGAAAACUGUUAUGCCUGCCCUUUCCAGUAAUUUCGUUCAAAUGGUAAUAGGGGUUUGUUGCUCAGAUAUGAAUGAGCUCUGAGACUUAGCCCUAUAGGCCAUAAAAUUAGGCCCGCAAGAUCUUUUUUAAGAAAAUUUUCCUUGUUUUUAGGUAUGGUAAUGGGCACUGUCCGUAUCGGAUUUGUCAUUACCACACAACGGAUUUGUCAUUAACGCUCAUGAAUUUUAAAUUGCAGAUUUUUAUCUUUUAAAGAAAAUUCAUUCUCUGUGUGUGUUGACAAUUAACAAAUCUGUAAUGAUAGAUGUUCAAUAUUUAAAAUCAUAGAUGUUCAAUAUGUAAAUUUGUAGUAAUAACCUAAAAUUCCAAAAAACAUACUCAAUUUUAAAUUUAACCAAUGUAAAUGAAAAAUUAAAUUUUCAACAUUAAUUCAAACAAAUUCUCAAAUUUAAGUAUAAAAUACAUAAAUCCAUAAAAAAGCUACUAACUAGUAUUUAAAAAUAACAAUUAUCAUUUCAUAUUGUCAUUCAACACAAGCUCCGAUCGAAAAUUUUCAUUUUAUUCACCACCAUUAGCACCCAUCCAACAUGAUUCCUAUAAUAAUACUUAAAAUUAAUAUUUUCUAAAGAAUGUUAAUUUUUAAACACUAAUCCGAAGAACAAAAUUAUAAUAAUGAAAUAAUCCAUGCAUUAAGUUAAAG